rnacentral:rRNA from 1 species
UAACGAAUAUUCCGCAAUGCGCGAAAGCGUGACGGAGCAAUGCCGCGUGCAGGAUGAAGCCUUUCGGGGUGUAAACUGCUGUCAGGGUACAGGAACACAAUGACCAUACCCAAAGGAAGGGCCGGCUAACUUCGUGCCAGCAGCCGCGGUAAUACGAAGGGCCCGAGCGUUAAUCGGAAUCACUGGGCUUAAAGCGUACGCAGGCGGGCGCGCAGGCAUCUCGUGAAAUCCCCCGGCUCAACCGGGGAACUGCGGGGUGAACCUCGUGCCUUGAGACUGGUAGGGGCUGCCGGAACGCUAGGUGGAGUGGUGAAAUGCGUUGAUAUCUAGCGGAACGCCGAAGGAGAAAUCAGGCAGCUGGGCCAGUUCUGACGCUCAUGUACGAAAGCGUGGGGAGCGAACGGGAUUAGAUACCCCCGUAGUCC